rnacentral:rRNA from 1 species
CAUAUGGAUUCCUACGGGAGGCAGCAGUGGGGAAUAUUGCACAAUGGGCGCAAGCCUGAUGCAGCAACGCCGCGUGAGGGACGAAGGCCUUCGGGUUGUAAACCUCUUUUAGUAGGGAAGAAGCGACUGGGUUUUCCUGGGAGUGACGGUACCUGCAGAAAAAGCACCGGCUAACUACGUGCCAGCAGCCGCGGUAAUACGUAGGGUGCAAGCGUUGUCCGGAAUUAUUGGGCGUAAAGAGCUCGUAGGCGGUUUGUCGCGUCUGGUAAAACCCUGGCGGGCUCAACCUCGGGCCUGCAGUGGGUACGGGCAGACUAGAGUGCGGUAGGGGAGAUUGGAAUUCCUGGUGUAGCGGUGGAAUGCGCAGAUAUCAGGAGGAACACCAAUGGCGAAGGCAGAUCUCUGGGCCGUAACUGACGCUGAGGAGCGAAAGCAUGGGGAGCGAACAGGAUUAGAUACCCUGGUAGUCCAUGCCGUAAACGUUGGGAACUAGAUGUGGGGACCAUUCCACGGUCUCCGUGUCGCAGCUAACGCAUUAAGUUCCCCGCCUGGGGAGUACGGCCGCAAGGCUAAAACUCAAAGGAAUUGACGGGGGCCCGCACAAGCGGCGGAGCAUGCGGAUUAAUUCGAUGCAACGCGAAGAACCUUACCAAGGCUUGACACAUACCGGAAACGGCUGGAAACAGUCGCCCCGCAAGGUCGGUAUACAGGUGGUGCAUGGUUGUCGUCAGCUCGUGUCGUGAGAUGUUGGGUUAAGUCCUU